rnacentral:lncRNA from 1 species
GCUAAUGUUUGUAAUUUUGGUGAAAAGGGGGACCCAGAGAAUAAUGGGUUCCAAGGUGGGAACUCGGGUGUGUCGAGGAUGGGAACGAAGCCAGAGACCAGAGGUACAAUUACUUCUGACACUCUUCACAGGUUUGUUGAAGGACCACCUGACAUGGUUAAACAGCCCUGGCUUAACGUUCCAGACACUGCUGCCAAUACUUGCGGCUGUUAGUUCCUGAUUUCUGCUUAAGAUCACUCAGAAGAGGAUCAGCUGCUGAUCAUACGUCUGACUCAGCUAUAUCUCAUUGCUAUGGCUCUUGGCCACAAGAUAUCUGACUCUGUGUCACCAGCCUAACAGAAGAUCACAUUGUGCUGCCAAAGCACAGAACACACCCAGCUUCUUGGAUUUCAUCUGUCUUGCAUUUCCUUAUGUAUCAGUUACAGGAAAAGCAGCAACUGAAAUACAGCUCUCAAAUGCUCUGGAUGGUAAAUAAAACAAGGCAUAUGCUAUAAUACCCUCUGAGAGAAAUGCCCUUGCCCUGGUGUGUGUGUAAGGUCCUACAAGUAUGUAGAAUAUGUCGUUUACCUAGCUUCCAUUUACUAAGAAUUAGUUGGCUGGCCUAUAUUUUGAAGGGAGUGACAUUUUCUUGGCCAGGCCUUUCUGGCUCAUUCCUCUCAUAAACAAGCAAAAGGAUCUGCUUGUCCAGAAUGAGAAAAGUCUUUCUGGAUAGUUGUCACUCUUGUGCCUAGGAGACGACUGUCGAGCUUCUAUGACCACCUCCUCCUGUCAACUCAGUCUUUGAAGCAAUGCAGAGACUAUGCUGUGAAGAAAGAACAGUAACUCACAGCACCGAUACUAAGGGAUACCACUACCCUUGGAUUUGGCUUCCAUCUGAUGGAAAAGAGCUUCAGCCUAUAGCUAAUAACUGGGAUCAUUUGAAUAGCAAAGAAUUUAACACUAGAGAAAAUAUAUUAAGACACUUAAUAUAAGACAAAUUAUGACUACCACAGGAAGGAGCAUCCUGGGACUAGUCCACCAAACAGACCAUGUCUCUCCAAAUAUAUGCAUGUGUGUUAUGCUGCCACAAUGACUAGGUGAGGGGUGUUAGAUGACGUGUAGCCACUGGCAAAGGUCUCUUUUGUCUUUAUCUCUCCAAUUAUAUGCAUGUGUGUUGUGCUGCCACAGUGACUAUGCCUUCUAAAGCAUAAAGACUAAAGGUGAGCAGUGAUUUAGAAGAUGCUGUAGCUACUGGCAAAGGUCUCUUUGUUUUUCCCCACCAUGUACGCAAGGCUAGCUAGCCUGUAGGCUUUGAAGAUUUUCCUGUCUGCCUUCCCUCUCUCCAUAGGAGUACUGAGAUUUCACAUGUAUGCUACAGAGGUUGGCUUUACUUAAGUUUGGGGGAUUUGAGCUCAGAACUUCAUAUUCACAGGAUAAGCACUCUACCCACUAAGUCAUCUCCCUAUCCCUUUGUUCUAGUUCCAUUGAAUAUUGGGAACUCUUCCAAUUCCUCCCUGGUUUCAUCAACAGCCCAUUGUUCAAAACAGUGUUGUGUUGUUCUAUCUCAGAAGUAUGUGUGUGUGUUUCUGAGGCCAGUCUAGCUAUUGACCUCUAGUUUCAUCCCACUGUCGCCUAGAAAUACUUGAGGACUUAUUUUGUUGUUUUUCAAUUUAUUAAGGUUUGCUUCACGGCCAAUGGCAUGGUCAGUUUUAAUGGAAGGUCUAUGGGUCAUUGUGAAAACUAUUUUCUUUCUGUUCUGUGGAACAUUCUAUACACUUCUAUGAAAUCCAAUGGAUUUACUGUUUAAUUCAACUAUAAGUUUUCUCUGCUGGUUUUUUAAUUUGGGAGAUCUAUCUCAAUGUGAGAUGGGGUACUGAGCCUCCAUCCUUAUUAUGCCAGGGCCUGGGUGGCCUUUUAUGCACUUUAGUGUUUACUAUGUCCUAUUUAUUAAUAUUCCCUUUCAUGAGUGUGCAGGGGCCCCUAUACUUCUUCCAACCUGUUCAGGUUGCAAGUCUAUUUUAAGAGGUAUAAGAAUCACUGUGGAAGCUUUUCUGCAGCUUCCACUUGCUUGGUAUUUCCUCCUCCAACCUUCCAUCUAGAACUUGCUCAAAGUCCUUGGGGAUCAAUUCCUGCUCUGCCUGGGUUCAACCUCACAUCUUAGUGAACUGCUUCUGAGUACACUGGGUGCUUGCCCUUUCGGGCCACCUUCUUCCAAUGCCUUGAUGGUAGGACUAGUCAAUCCACCUGAGGAGCCAAGCAGAAAUGUCGAGCUCCUCCUAACCUCCUAGUUCCUCUUCCUUGUUCCUUCUGCCUGAUAUGAAGGGAGGGUAGAGUAGUGUUUGCCAGGUAGAAUCAGCUUCUCUCUCUCUCUCUCUCUCUCUCUCUCUCUCUCUCUCUCUCUCCUUUGUAGCUGUUACUUGUUUUUUUCCCCCAAUCCAGACCCAAAACCUUUCCUCUAUAUCUCUUCUGACUUUUCUUAUUUUGACUCUCAUCUUUAUUGGCUCACACUUGAGGCAGCCUCUAGUCUAUGAUCUUUGAAUGAAGCCCUCUCUAAAUAUUAAGUUCAAAAUGUCAGGAAAUGAUAAACCCAUGUGGGGUAAUAAAAGAAUAUGCACAGAAAUGGGAAUUGCCUAUGUGCGGAUUAUCUUGAGUGUUGCUGACUACGGCUUGUUAGAGACACUGGAAAGCUUGCAUUAAUAUCACUUCUGAAUGUACAAAGGUUUUGGUUGUUAUGUAUGUUUGGUCUGAUAGUUGAGGAAGUUUUCAUAAUACCCUGCCUCCUUUGCUUCCUAUCUACACUAUAGAACAUAUCUUCAUCCAUGAAGAUCUCUCUUGGUGCUUCUAGGGUAUGUUCAACAAGAAAGGCAUUGUCUGCCAGAAAAACUAGCUAUAUUUGAUCUAUCUGAUAAAAUAAUUAAAUAAAUAAAAAUUCUGGAACAUGCUGAAAUAACUGGAAGAUCAUGACAUACACUAGAGACUGCAGGAGGUUAUGAUAAUAACCUCCCUAAUAGUUUUAAGGAUUUGUUCUGGUCACAUGCAUUUAAUAAGGAAGUAAUAUAAAAUGUUUGUCCCUAGCCUAGAGGACAGCCAGAUGGACAUUAGCCAAAUGUAAAUAGACUUUCUUCCUUCUUUAUAUUUGUGUUGCAAAGUUCAAAUGUGAUAAAGAAUAAUCAUUCUAUUUUAGUUGGCCAUUCAAGCAAAUGGCAGUUUGAGUAAUGUUUAACCCAGUGAUCAUAACAGAAUUUACCCUUAGCUUCAUCUUUUCCUGUAAUCUAAGACAAUGGUGCUCGAUUUCUAGUUAUCAUAAGGAAAGCAAUAGCAGUUUUAAAGUCUUUUUCCUUCAAUGGGAAUAAUCUAAGUACUUUAUAUUUCCAUAAUUAUUUAAUCCAAAUACAGUGUUGAUUUUCUCUAUUUAUAAUUGUCUCUUUUAUUUCCUCUUGUUAUAGCUAAGGAUAUAUAGUUUAUGUGACUUAUACAUUAGCAUCCUUUCGUAUCCCAGAAUACUACAAAGUAGAGCAUUUUGACUCAAGGAUCAUAAGAAGCCUCACUUGGGCUUUGUUUUAGUGGUGAUAGGGAUUGAAUCCAGUGCAUUGUGCAUGCUAGACAGGCACUCUACUACUAAGCUUGUUACAUUUUGUCAAGAGACUAAUUUGAACUUUCUUACAAAUAAUAUCCACUCUGUACUUAAUAUGCAGUUUAAUCAUUACAGCAACCCUGGGAAUCAACACACAAUUUUCAUUUACUGAGAUUAUAAAACAGUUUCAAUAAAAAAGCCAAGGCUCAGACCCAAGCAGCCUACCCUCACACUGUUCCCUCCACCUGUGCUCCUGAAUUCAACCCUGGCUAUUGUUUAAUCUGGCAACUUGAUAAGCUAUGAUAAAGGAUGUUAAUAAAGUAAGAGCAAGUAUGUAUUUAGGCAUGGUAUGAUGAAAAAACAUGUAUUAGACUUGUGCAUAGUCUCAGUGUUCUAUUGCUGAGACACCACAGCUAUGAGAUGCCAAACCUCAUCCAUCUGGGAAUUGGCCUCCAUCAUAAAAAAUAAAGAAAAAAAAAA